CCUACGGGCGGCAGCAGUAGGGAAUCUUCCACAAUGGGCGAAAGCCUGAUGGAGCAACGCCGCGUGGGUGAAGAAGGUCUUCGGAUCGUAAAACCCUGUUGUUAGAGAAGAAAGUGCGUGAGAGUAACUGUUCACGUUUCGACGGUAUCUAACCAGAAAGCCACGGCUAACGACGUGCCAGCAGCCGCGGUAAUACGUAGGUGGCAAGCGUUAUCCGGAGUUAUUGGGCGUAAGGGGAACGCAGGCGGUCUUUUAAGUCUGAUGGGAAAGCCUUCGGCUUAACCGGAGUAGUGCAUUGGAAACUGGGAGACUUGAGUGCAGAAGAGGAGAGUGGAACUCCAUGUGUAGCGGUGAAAUGCGUAGAUAUAUGGAAGAACACCAGUGGCGAAGGCGGCUCUCUGGUCUGUAACUGACGCUGAGGUUCGAAAGCGUGGGUAGCAAACAGGAUUAGAUACCCCAGUAGUC
rnacentral:rRNA from 1 species